rnacentral:rRNA from 1 species
AUGGACUUUGGCGUCAGUAUCGAGGCAGCUUAUCUAUCAGACAUAAGAAUGGAAUUUUGGAGCAACAUAUGUUACAAGUAUUUCUGUUUUACUGUUGUUAUUAGCACUGACAUUAGCCGACGAGAGGCGAUUGUUGUGAUGACAUGGUUAAGUUUUGUUAUCAUGGACGUUGUGCCUUUUCUGAAUCUGCAUUUCCUCCGUUUUUGCAACCUUAUCUUUAUCCAUGGUGUUGUGAAUACCGUAGGCUCUGUGAAAGUGCAGCUUGCGCUGAACUGCAUCUCAACAGUUGGGCCAGCCCCUGGUGUCGCUCAGCGUUAG